CUGUUGGGUAGGGGAGCGUUGUGUAAGCGGAAGAAGGUUCAUCGAGAGGUGGGCUGGACGUAUCACAAGUGCGAAUGCUGACAUAAGUAACGAUAAAACGGGUGAAAAACCCGUUCGCCGGAAGACCAAGGGUUCCUGUCCAACGUUAAUCGGGGCAGGGUGAGUCGGCUCCUAAGGCGAGGCUGAAAAGCGUAGUCGAUGGGAAACAGGUUAAUAUUCCUGUACUUGGUAAAGCUGCGAUGUGGGGACGGAGUAGGUUAGGUUAUCGCACUGUUGGAUAUGUGCGUUUAAGUUGGUAGGUGGGAAGUUUAGGCAAAUCCGGACUUCCUUAACACAGAGAGAUGAUGACGAGGCUCUACGGAGCUGAAGUAACUGAUACCACACUUCCAGGAAAAGCCACUAAGCGAAAGGCUUUACUAAACCGUACUGAAAACCGACACAGGUGGUCAGGUAGAGAAUACUCAGGCGCUUGAGAGAACUCGGGUGAAGGAACUAGGCAAAAUAGCACCGUAACUUCGGGAGAAGGUGCGCUUACAGUAAUUGUAGUCCCUUACGGAUGAAGGUGAAGUAAGUCGAAGAUACCAGCUGGCUGCAACUGUUUAUUAAAAACACAGCACUCUGCAAACACGAAAGUGGACGUAUAGGGUGUGAUGCCUGCCCGGUGCUGGAAGGUUAAUUGAUGGUGUAAUCGAAAGAGAAGCACCUGAUCGAAGCCCCAGUAAACGGCGGCCGUAACUAUAACGGUCCUAAGGUAGCGAAAUUCCUUGUCGGGUAAGUUCCGACCUGCACGAAUGGCAUAAUGAUGGCCAGGCUGUCUCCACCCGAGACUCAGUGAAAUUGAAAUCGCCGUGAAGAUGCGGUGUACCCGCGGCUAGACGGAAAGACCCCGUGAACCUUUACUAUAGCUUGACACUGAACAUUGAAUUUUGAUGUGUAGGAUAGGUGGGAGACUUAGAAGCAGUCACGCCAGUGAUUGUGGAGUCAUCCUUGAAAUACCACCCUUUAACGUUUGAUGUUCUAACGAAGAUUGCGGAACGCGGUCUCGGACAGUGUCUGGUGGGUAGUUUGACUGGGGCGGUCUCCUCCCAAAGCGUAACGGAGGAGCACGAAGGUUUGCUAAUCACGGUCGGACAUCGUGAGGUUAGUGCAAUGGUAUAAGCAAGCUUAACUGCGAGACAGACAAGUCGAGCAGGUACGAAAGUAGGUCAUAGUGAUCCGGUGGUUCUGAAUGGAAGGGCCAUCGCUCAACGGAUAAAAGGUACUCCGGGGAUAACAGGCUGAUACCGCCCAAGAGUUCAUAUCGACGGCGGUGUUUGGCACCUCGAUGUCGGCUCAUCACAUCCUGGGGCUGAAGUAGGUCCCAAGGGUAUGGCUGUUCGCCAUUUAAAGUGGUACGCGAGCUGGGUUUAGAACGUCGUGAGACAGUUCGGUCCCUAUCUGCCGUGGGCGUAGGAUGAUUGAUUGGGGCUGCUCCUAGUACGAGAGGACCGGAGUGGACGCAUCACUGGUGUUCCAGUUGUCUCGCCAGAGGCAUUGCUGGGUAGCUAAAUGCGGAAGAGAUAAGUGCUGAAAGCAUCUAAGCACGAAACUUGCCAAGAGAUGAGUCAUCCCUGACUUUAAGUCAGUAAGGGUUGUUGUAGACUACGACGUAGAUAGGUCAGGUGUGUAAGUGUAGUGAUACAUUGAGCUAACAGAUACUAAUUGCCCGAGAGGCUUAACUAU
rnacentral:rRNA from 1 species